rnacentral:rRNA from 1 species
UACGUAGGUGGCGAGCGUUGUCCGGAUUUACUGGGCGUAAAGGGAGCGUAGGCGGACUUUUAAGUGAGAUGUGAAAUACUCGGGCUCAACUUGAGUGCUGCAUUUCAAACUGGAAGUCUAGAGUGCAGGAGAGGAGAAUGGAAUUCCUAGUGUAGCGGUGAAAUGCGUAGAGAUUAGGAAGAACACCAGUGGCGAAGGCGGUUCUCUGGACUGUAACUGACACUGAGGCUCGAAAGCGUGGGGAGCAAACAGG